rnacentral:rRNA from 1 species
GAUGAACGCUGGCGGCGUGCUUAACACAUGCAAGUCGAACGAAGCAUUUGCGACAGAUUUUUUCGGAAUGAAGUUGCUUAUGACUGAGUGGCGGACGGGUGAGUAACGCGUGGGUAACCUGCCUUGUACUGGGGGAUAGCAGCUGGAAACGGCUGGUAAUACCGCAUAAGCGCACAAUGUUGCAUGACAUGGUGUGAAAAACUCCGGUGGUAUAAGAUGGACCCGCGUCUGAUUAGCUAGUUGGUGAGAUAACAACCCACCAAGGCGACGAUCAGUAGCCGACCUGAGAGGGUGACCGGCCACAUUGGGACUGAGACACGGCCCAGACUCCUACGGGAGGCAGCAGUGGGGAAUAUUGCACAAUGGAGGAAACUCUGAUGCAGCGACGCCGCGUGAGUGAAGAAGUAAUUCGUUAUGUAAAGCUCUAUCAGCAGGGAAGAUAGUGACGGUACCUGACUAAGAAGCUCCGGCUAAAUACGUG